rnacentral:rRNA from 1 species
GACGAACGCUGGCGGCGUGCUUAACACAUGCAAGUCGAACGAACAAGCCUAGCUUUCUCGCUGCUUUCGUUGCCAACGGGCGGGUAAUACACAAGUAGAUUACCUUUAACUCUGAGAUAAACAAGGUCGACAGGGUCUAAUAACGGAUGCGAACAAUCUCCACCUGGGGUGUUGGUGGAAAGCAUUAGGUGGUGGUUUUAGAUGGAUUCAAAGCCGAUCAGCUUUUUGGUGUGGUAAAGGUUCACCAAGGCGACGACGGGUAGCCGGCCUGAGAGGGUGAGCGGCCACCCUGGGACUGAGACACGGCCCAGACUGCUACGGUAGGCAGCAGUGGGGAAUAUUGCACAGUGGGCGCAAGCCUGAUGCAACGACGCCGCGUGAGGGAUGCCGGCCUUCGGGUUGUAAACCUCUGUUAGCAGAGAAGAAGAGAGAUUGACGGUACCUGCAGAGAAAGCGCCGGCUAACUACGUG